rnacentral:rRNA from 1 species
UACGUAGGUGGCAAGCGUUGUCCGGAAUUAUUGGGCGUAAAGCGCGCGCAGGCGGUUUCUUAAGUCUGAUGUGAAAUCUCGCGGCUCAACCGUGAGCGGUCAUUGGAAACUGGGAAACUUGAGUGCAGAAGAGAAGAGCGGAAUUCCACGUGUAGCGGUGAAAUGCGUAGAGAUGUGGAGGAACACCAGUGGCGAAGGCGGCUUUCUGGUCUGUAACUGACGCUGAGGCGCGAAAGCGUGGGGGGCAAACAGG